GGACGAACGCUGGCGGCGUGCCUAACACAUGCAAGUCGAGCGGAGGUACAAUGAGAGCAAUCGAGAUGUACUUUAGCGGCGGACGGGUGAGUAACGCGUGAGCAACCUGCCUAUCACAGGGGGAUAAGGCGGCGAAAGCCGCUCUAAUACCGCAUGAGACCCUCAAAGCGAUGCAAUGGGGGUGAAAGGAGCGAUCCGGUGAGAGAUGGGCUCGCGUCCGAUUAGGUAGUUGGUAGGGUAAGGGCCUACCAAGCCAAUGAUCGGUAGCCGGCCUGAGAGGGUGAACGGCCACAUUGGAACUGAGAGACGGUCCAAACUCCUACGGGAGGCAGCAGUGGGGAAUAUUGGGCAAUGGGCGGAAGCCUGACCCAGCAACGCCGCGUGAGGGAAGAAGGUUUUCGGAUUGUAAACCUCUGUUCUUGGGGAAGAGGAGGAGACGGUACCCAAGGAGGAAGCCCCGGCUAACUACGUGCCAGCAGCCGCGGUAAUACGUAGGGGGCGAGCGUUGUCCGGAAUGAUUGGGCGUAAAGGGCGCGCAGGCGGCCUGUCAAGUCAGUAGUGGAAGUCCAUUUUUCAAGGAUGGAAGUGCUAUAGAAACUGAUGGGCUUGAGUGCAGGAGAGGUUAUCGGAAUUCCCGGNUGUAGCGGUGAAAUGCGUAGAGAUCGGGAGGAACACCAGUGGCGAAGNNNNGUAACUGGACUGCAACUGACGCUGAGGCGCGAAAGUGUGGGGAGCAAACAGGAUUAGAUACCCUGGUAGUCCACACUGUAAACGAUGAAUGCUAGGUGUAGGGGGUAUCGACCCCUNNUGUGCCGAAGUAAACACAAUAAGCAUUCCGCCUGGGGAGUACGGCCGCAAGGUUAAAACUCAAAGGAAUUGACGGGGGCCCGCACAAGCGGUGGAGCAUGUGGUUUAAUUCGAAGCAACGCGCAGAACCUUACCAACCCUUGACAUGGGUAUCGCGGAUCCAGAGAUGGAUCCUUCAGUUCGGCUGGAUACCGCACAGGUGCUGCAUGGCUGUCGUCAGCUCGUGUCGUGAGAUGUUCGGUUAAGUCCGGCAACGAGCGCAACCCACACUUUCAGUUGCCAUCAUUCAGUUGGGCACUCUGGAAGAACUGCCGGUGAUAAGCCGGAGGAAGGUGUGGAUGACGUCAAGUCCUCAUGGCCCUUACGGGUUGGGCUACACACGUGCUACAAUGGUGGUGACAAUGGGUUAAUCCCCAAAAGCCAUCUCAGUUCGGAUUGGGGUCUGCAACUCGACCCCAUGAAGUCGGAAUCGCUAGUAAUCGCGUAACAGCAUGACGCGGUGAAUACGUUCCCGGGCCU
rnacentral:rRNA from 1 species